rnacentral:rRNA from 1 species
ACGAACGCUGGCGGCAUGCCUAACACAUGCAAGUCGAACGAGACCUUCGGGUCUAGUGGCGCACGGGUGCGUGACGCGUGGGAAUCUGCCCUUGGGUUCGGAAUAACUUCGGGAAACUGAAGCUAAUACCGGAUGAUGACGUAAGUCCAAAGAUUUAUCGCCCAAGGAUGAGCCCGCGUAGGAUUAGCUAGUUGGUGAGGUAAAGGCUCACCAAGGCGACGAUCCUUAGCUGGUCUGAGAGGAUGAUCAGCCACACUGGGACUGAGGCUCGGCCCAGACUCCUACGGGAGGCAGCAGUGGGGAAUAUUGGACAAUGGGCGAAAGCCUGAUCCAGCAAUGCCGCGUGAGUGAUGAAGGCCUUAGGGUUGUAAAGCUCUUUUACCCGGGAUGAUAAUGACAGUACCGGGAGAAUAAGCUCCGGCUAACUCCGUG